rnacentral:lncRNA from 1 species
ACUGGCUAUGCCUUCUGGGCAUCCAAGAAGGGCAAGGAUUUCAGUUACCUUGGUCCAUUUUUGUUCACCUGCCUCUUCACUCUGAUCCUGGUCGGCAUGAUGCAGGUUCGAAUUCUUAAUUCAUCAUAUGAUAAAGCACUACUUUCUUGUCUAGUUUUCCAAAUUUCAAGAUAAGUGCACAUUAAUAUAUCUAGCAUGUUUGCAAGAUCUAUCUUGUUUAAGACUUGCUGUUUUUUCAUGCAGAUGUUCUUCCCCCUCGGCUCAACAGCAAAUGCUAUCUAUGGUGGAGUUGGUGCCAUUAUUUUCUCUGGUUUUGUUGUCUAUGACACUGAAAACCUGAUCAAGCGAUUUACCUAUGAUGAGUACAUUGGAGCCUCGGUCACUCUCUAUCUUGAUAUACUCAACCUGUUCCUGGCCAUCUUGAGGGUGCUGAGACAAGGAAAUAACUAAUUUUUCAUACUCUUGUAAAUUUGAUAUUUGAGUAAAAUCAAUGAAAAUAACUUCUUUUGCUUUUCAGUAAUACAGUAAGAAGCUGGUAUAUGAAAAUACCCUUGUCCUUUGACAGUAAUGUGUUGACAAGGAAGAUGGUUUGUUUACUAUUGGAUAAUCAAUGUGAUAUUAUUAUGUGUCUUCUAUAGAAUUGUGUUGCUGCUGCUACUUGCUUUCUGGUUGCUACAUCUUUUGACUUUUGAGUGUAUUAUUUCCAAUUAAGAGCUUUCUAAUUCGGAGUUGUAUGCUGCAUGAUCUCGGAUAUCAUUUGUUGUUCACUCUGGGAGGGUGGAAGGCUUUAUGGUUCUCCUGCUUAUGCUGGUUUUGAUGGGAUUGGUAUCAGAAGAGUAUUGGUUGUUCUUGCUCGAUUUCCAGUCAUCGUUGUGAUAAAUCAAUCCUCUUUUGGCUAUUGUAUUUGUCUUUGUUUAAAAUCAGUAUUAUUGGAUUGGAAUCUCCCAAUAACAGGCACGUUGAGUCCAUUUGAAAUUGACGAAUAUCUUGGUUGAUGGAUUUAUAAGAGGGAGGUUGUGAUGGCUAGAUAUAUCAGUUACCUAUGGUGCUAGGAGUGGAGAAGAAACUGGAGUGGUCUUGAUCUGAUUAAGAUGAUGUUUGUUUGAAUGUAUUAGAAGAGAAGGUUAUUACAAAUUUUUACCGUGAUUAAAAUGUAGUGUUGAAUGAAUUUAACAUUUUAUUUUGUUAAAAAAAAAAUAAUUCAAAAUUAAAGUAUAUUUAAUUAGUUAGUAAAAAUAAUUUACGGUUCGGAAAUCAUCUCCAAGUAUAGGGUUCUUGUUGGUUCGAAGGGGAUGAAUUCAAUAUUCUUUUGUGAUUUUCUUUCGAUAUCUUCUCUUUAAGAAUUCAUAAAUAAUUUCAUUUUAACUUCAGUUACCUUGGUCCAUUUUUGUUCAGCUGCCUCUUCACUCUGAUCGUGGUCGGCAUGAUGCAGGUUCGAGUUCUUAAUUCAUCAUAUGAUAAUGCAGUACUUUCGUAUCUAGUUUUCCAAAUUUCAAGAUUAGUGCACAUUAAUAUAUCUAGGAUGUUUGCAAGAUCUAUCUUUAUCUUGACACAUUGAACCUGUUCCUGUCUAUCUUGAGGGUGCUGAGACAAGGAAAUAACUAAAAUGUUGAUACUCUUGUAAAUUUGAUAUUUGAGUAACUCCAAAUGAAAAUAACUACUAUGCUUCUCACUAAUACAGUGUGAAGCUGGUAUGUGCAAAUACCCUUGUCCUUUGACAAUGCUGUACUGACAAGGAAGAUGGUUUGUUUACUAUUGGAUAAUCAAUGAGAUAUUGUAUGUCUUUUAUAGAGUUGUGUUGCUGCUGCUGCUUGCUUUAUGGUUGCUACAUCUUUUGAGUGUAUAAUUUCUAAUCAAGAGGUUUCUAAUAUGGAGUUGCAUGGUGCAUGAUCUCGG